CGGCCGGUAGCUCAGCGGGAGAGCGCUCGCCCGACACGCGAGAGGACGGAGGUUCGAGCCCUCCCCGGCCGA
rnacentral:tRNA from 1 species